rnacentral:rRNA from 1 species
GACGAACGCUGGCGGCGUGCUUAACACAUGCAAGUCGAGCGGUAAGGCCCUUUCGGGGGUACACGAGCGGCGAACGGGUGAGUAACACGUGGGUGACCUGCCCUCAGCUCUGGGAUAAGCCCGGGAAACUGGGUCUAAUACUGGAUAUGACUCCAUGACGCAUGUUGUGGGGUGGAAAGCCUUGUGCGGCUGAGGAUGGGCCCGCGGCCUAUCAGCUUGUUGGUGGGGNGAUGGCCUACCAAGGCGACGACGGGUAGCCGGCCUGAGAGGGCGACCGGCCACACUGGGACUGAGACACGGCCCAGACUCCUACGGGAGGCAGCAGUGGGGAAUCUUGCGCAAUGGGCGAAAGCCUGACGCAGCGACGCCGCGUGAGGGAUGACGGCCUGGU